CAUGAUCUGAGUGAGGGGCUGUGCUGGGAACCACACAGGGAAGCUGCAAAACCACUCAGGAAAAAAAGAAAAUCAAAUGAGAAAGAAUGAAAACAUCACCGAUCACAGCACGGUUUGAGGGCAAAAUCCCAAGGAAAGGGGAAGGUCCUUCUGACAGCAGCACUCCUCUGCAGGAGCAGCAGAAUCAGGGCUCUGCUGGUGCCUGCUUGGCCCCUGGGUGCUCUUUAAUCCGAUGUCACGGGUUUUUCAAGCGUGCCACGUCCCCCCCCAGCCUGCUGCCAGCCCAUUGGUGGUUUAUGCCGUUUACAGCUCCCAAGGAGGAGAACUGCUGAAGAGCAGUGGGAAUAUUUACUUUCCGCUGCUAAUGCAAGUCGCAAGCAAAGGACUUCAAAAACCUUCUAACUUGCACGCGGGGAGCUGCAAACCGAGCCUGGCUGAGCACGAAACAAAUCUGCGGGAUGUUGUGCCAUGAGGAGAAACAGCUAAACCGCAACACAUCCUCGGAGCAGAGCUCUCAAAGGCGGCUGAGCCGCAGCACUGCCUGCAGGGAGGGACAGAGUCUGAGAAGCCACAGCCAGCAGGCUUGAUUGCUUGGAAGAGCUGAAAGAAUAAAAGAAAAAAAAAAAAAGGAAAAAAAGAAAAAAACAGAAAGGAAAGAAAAAAGAAACUAACUGUGAGCUGGGUGUCUCUGCCUUAUUCCCAUUCUCCAGCACCAGACCUUUAGCCUCUCUGUGCGUGCUUAUAUACACGGGUGCAUGCAUGCGCAUCCCUCCAACUGUAUCACCUGUGGGCGCUCAGGCACACUGUACACAAACAACUUUGCAAGCUCCAAUGGAUUAAAUGAACACAUUUUGGCUCUCCUUUUUCGUGACCACAGCUCAAAGCCCUGCACACAGCGUGCUCCCCCACUGAGGCAGCCCAGGCACCGCCGAGCUGCAGCCCCGGCUCUCACACUUCCCCACGCCUCCGCCAGUGAUGCAGAAACAGAGCCAGGUGGAGGAGAUCCUGUCCUGACGACCUGGGGACGGCGGAACCAGACCCAGCGUUCUUUAAACCAACACUGACCUCAGUGCUGUUGGAGCUGAGCCUGCCCCUCCAAACCCCACCGCUACAUCAAUGCGAGGCUGACAUAAAAGAGAGCAGAAAUGUGAUUCAUCA